UACGGAGGGUGCGAGCGUUGUCCGGAUUUACUGGGCGUAAAGGGCGCGUAGGCGGCAAUUCAAGUCAUCUGUGAAAUCUCCGGGCUUAACUCGGAACGGUCAGAUGAUACUGCUUUGCUCGAGUGCGGAAGGGGCAAUCGGAAUUCUUGGUGUAGCGGUGAAAUGCGUAGAUAUCAAGAGGAACACCUGAGGUGAAGACGGGUUGCUGGGCCGACACUGACGCUGAAGCGCGAAAGCCAGGGGAGCAAACGGG
rnacentral:rRNA from 1 species